GCCUUCGUGGUGUAGUGGUCAGCACAGUCGACGCGUAACCGAGAGGUCCGUAGUUCGAUUCCCAGCGAAGGCG
rnacentral:tRNA from 1 species